UACGAAGGGGCUAGCGUUGCUCGGAAUCACUGGGCGUAAAGGGUGCGUAGGCGGGUUUUUAAGUCAGAGGUGAAAUCCUGGAGCUCAACUCCAGAACUGCCUUUGAUACUGAAAGUCUUGAGUAUGGGAGAGGUGAGUGGAACUGCGAGUGUAGAGGUGAAAUUCGUAGAUAUUCGCAAGAACACCAGUGGCGAAGGCGGCUCACUGGCCCAUUACUGACGCUGAGGCACGAAAGCGUGGGGAGCAACAGG
rnacentral:rRNA from 1 species